ensembl:lncRNA
GUAAAAGCACUUCUUGAGCCUCUUUUAGUGCUUACAUAGAUCCCUUUUCACUUUGUGGUUUGAUCUGAAAUGUGAACUAAAAUACUAUGUCCAUCAUUAUCUGUGCACCAUUAUGCUACAUGUACCUUUAACAUCUAGUCUAUGUUGUGACUGGGAUCGAAACAUUCAGAGAAAAUGGCACAAUCAAAAUCAUAAAAGGAGAUACCAAUAAGGAAGUGUGACACUUUCUGUUCCCUAUGUCAGUGGAACUGCGAUUGGGUGGUCGAUGAACCGAUUAGAUGUGAAUGAUGUGAAAAACGGACAAAACACACUUGCACAACAGUGACGUAUUUGCCCUUUGAACAAAACCGAAGUAGGGCAGAGAAACUCGGACAUAGCACAGAAAGACAAACUUGACAGAUGUUAUAAAGGGGAACUGACAUCAGUUUUACAAUACUCACUUAACAUUAUCUCAAGAUGAGUAAACCACUGUGUAAAACUACAGUGUGCAAAAUUGAUUCACACAGGGUUUUCAUCUACAGUGCAUCAUUCCUAAGCUAAAUGACAUAACAGAAAAAAAAAGAAAAAAAAUACUACAAAUCGAUGUGAAUGGCAUGCAGGUGCAGUGUCAUAAUACAGGAUUAAAUUCCCGCGAUCCAUGCCUGAAAUUGAGUGGGCAGGCUUCUUAACAUAAAUCUUUACAAAUGACACAGUUUAGCAGUCAAACACGGGUCUGCUUCCUCUCACUCAUGCGCUCUACACACAAGAGAUGACAUCAUAUUGGGUCAGCUUGGGUUUUAGUGCUCAGCUUGCUAUCUACAUCUGCCAUUUCGAGCGCGCCGUAUUAGCCUACAUUUACUUUUAACUACUGCCCAUUUAAUGGAGCACCGUCUCGUGUGCAGGUGAAGAUGUCCGGUACAAUUCAAGCCAUGAAUGACUUAUAUAAUAAAACAAUGAAUGACGUACCGUUGUUGUCUUUGCAUUAAAUUAGUGCAGUCUAAUCCUACAAUCUAAAUCCUAAACCCCCCACAAAAGCAGAACAAAACAGGGUGUGCAGAUCAUGAUCGCCUGUGUAAAAAGGCUUCAGAUAGACGUAGUAAAAGUAUGCGUAGUGUCAUGCAUAGUGGACGUUACACUGUCUCAACCGAAAGCCAUUGUGACCGUGCGUUGAUAGUAAAAGCUCACUCACAACAAUGUGCAAUGGAAGGUACCACAGUCAUUUUGGACGUGACAGAUUCAAACGGACUGACACUCACACUGCGUGAGACUGCUAAAAUAACACCAUGGACAAGUUUAUACACCACCCAGCCACCUUGUCUGUUGCAAAAAAAAAAACCCCAAACGUUCACUUCACUACAAGCUGUCAUUCGUUUUCUCAGCAUACUCACCCCCCGAGGAACAAACCAAACAGCAAAGCUUCUUCUUCGUCAGUUCACAGCGUAAAAAAAUACCCACAAUUCAGCCUAGGCUUUAAAAAGGUGCAAUAACGAGCAAACGUGCACACUUCGUUAAAGCCGUUAAAAACCAAACCUACGCACUUAACUCCAGCGAGCUGAUGCUUGUCUCAGUACUCACCACCUCUGAGUUGCGUUCAAACAACAAGCCGAACAACGUCGAAAACAGGCGAUGAUAGUCAUUACCAACUUCAGGUGCAACCUAAUCGAC